rnacentral:lncRNA from 1 species
ACAGUACAUCACCUUCAUGAGCGCAUCAGUGAACACCAGUCUAAGGAAGACAUCUCUGAACGUAAUUUUGGAGAUUUUGAUGAGUUCCAUUGAAACAAGGAGGAAUGUGAUGUCCAGUAUCAGUUCUGCAGACCCAAGGACAAAGAAAAUUCUGUGAUAAACUCAUCCAGUGUGACUGUAAUGAUACAAGACACCGGACUUUCAAAUCAACAAUUGUUUCAAAAGACUCCUACUGGAUUCCUGCUAGUGAUGGGAGAAAAUUAUCAUUCUGUGAGUUGUCAAUAAAUGUUUAACCACA